GACGAGCGCUGGCGGCGUGCCUAAUACAUGCAAGUAGAACGCUGAAGGAGGAGCUUGCUUCUCUGGAUGAGUUGCGAACGGGUGAGUAACGCGUAGGUAACCUGCCUGGUAGCGGGGGAUAACUAUUGGAAACGAUAGCUAAUACCGCAUAAUAGUAGAUGUUGCAUGACAUUUGCUUAAAAGGUGCAAUUGCAUCACUACCAGAUGGACCUGCGUUGUAUUAGCUAGUUGGUGGGGUAACGGCUCACCAAGGCGACGAUACAUAGCCGACCUGAGAGGGUGAUCGGCCACACUGGGACUGAGACACGGCCCAGACUCCUACGGGAGGCAGCAGUAGGGAAUCUUCGGCAAUGGACGGAAGUCUGACCGAGCAACGCCGCGUGAGUGAAGAAGGUUUUCGGAUCGUAAAGCUCUGUUGUAAGAGAAGAACGAGUGUGAGAGUGGAAAGUUCACACUGUGACGGUAUCUGACCAGAAAGGGACGGCUAACUACGUG
rnacentral:rRNA from 1 species